rnacentral:sRNA from 1 species
UAUUUGAUUUAUGAUGUAAUUUUUUAGUUUAAUAAGGGUAUUUUAGUAAUUUACAAUUUUUUACUAUGCAUCAUCUAAAAUCAUCUGAAUGCAUCUUAUAAAAUAGACAUUUUUUGGAUGAGUCUGAGAAACGCAUCUGGAUACUCCACCCAACUUAUAUGCAAAAUUGUACUGAAACGAACAUCAAUUUGCAUCUACGGCUAGUUGCAUCAGUGAGAUGAGCAAACGAACAUGACCAUAUAUGAAAGUUGUCUUUUCUUUAACAAACUAAAAACCAGCUUGUAAGGAAAGAAAAGAAUGUAAAAUAAAGAAGGUUGCUCAGAUUCUUGCUGAAAAGGUUGAAAAAUAUCAAAACAGAUAAGAAUGAAACAGAUUAUCAGAAUUAGUGAAUCAGUUUGAACGUUAAGGGGUUUGCAAAGUGUGUAGAGGAGAAGAGUACAGUCAAUUGGGUAAACCACAUGACCAUGAAAGAAUCUUUGACGGACAUGUUGAGCAUGCCUACUAACUUAUAUCCUCUAUUGAAUUUUGUUUGUAAAUGAAAUACCUAUUUUUAUUUAAGAAAUAGAUUUAAAUGUCUCAAAAGCAAUCUAAAACGUUAAUAAGUAUA